GACGAACGCUGGCGGCGUGCCUAAUACAUGCAAGUCGAGCGAAUGACAGGGAGCUUGCUCCUUUGAUUUAGCGGCGGACGGGUGAGUAACACGUGGGUAACCUACCCUAUAGACUGGGAUAACUUCGGGAAACCGGAGCUAAUACCGGAUAAUACUUUUGAACACAUGUUCGAAAGUUGAAAGAUGGUUUCGGCUAUCACUAUAGGAUGGACCCGCGGCGCAUUAGCUAGUUGGUGGGGUAAUGGCUCACCAAGGCAACGAUGCGUAGCCGACCUGAGAGGGUGAUCGGCCACACUGGGACUGAGACACGGCCCAGACUCCUACGGGAGGCAG
rnacentral:rRNA from 1 species